UGGGGUAAUAUUGGACAAUGGGGCGCAAGCCUGAUCCANCCAUACCGCNUGGGUGAAGAAGGCCUUNCGGGUUGUAAAGCCCUUUUGGUUGGGAAAGAAAUCCAGCCGGCUAAUACCUGGUUGGGAUGACGGUACCCAAAGAAUAAGCACCGGCUAACUUCGUNCCAGCAGCCGCGGUAAUACGAAGGGUGCAAGCGUUACUCGGAAUUACUNNAANUAAAGCGUGCGUAGGUGGUCGUUUAAGUCCGUUGUGAAAGCCCUGGGCUCAACCUGGGAACUGCAGUGGAUACUGGGCGACUAGAGUGUGGUAGAGGGUAGCGGAAUUCCUGGUGUAGCAGUGAAAUGCGUAGAGAUCAGGAGGANCAUCCAUGGCGAAGGCAGCUNCCUGGACCAACNCUGACACUGAGGCACGAAAGCGUGGGGAGCAAACAGGAUUAGAUACCCUGGUAGUCCACGCCCUAANCGAUGCGAACUGGAUGUUGGGUGCAAUUUGGCACGCAGUAUCGAAGCUAACGCGUUAAGUUNUCAAAGGUGGGGAGUACGGUCGCAAGACUGNAACUCCCCCCNUUANAGAGGGGA
rnacentral:rRNA from 1 species